GCCGAACCGCCGGCGGGAGUUCCGCGGGGAGCGCGCGCGUGUGCGCCGGUGUGGCCGCGCCCCCGCCCCCGCCGCCGAGCCGGCCGCCGAGCACUUCCGGGUCAGCUCGCUGGCAACUGGGGCGUCGUGCCCGCUGAAGCUAGGGCGGUUUGGUUGGUCCCCGACUUCCACUGGGGGGCUGGAGGGAUAAGUUGGUCCAGAGAUGCUGGUGGCGGAGUGAGUGCCCAUUGGACCGUGUUGGUGACCUCCUUUUGGACCUGCCUGCCAAUUUCGGCCUUUGAGCGGCCGUUUUCAAGAAAUUAAUUUUAAAAAUGUAAUUGAUGCAUUAAAGGAAGGAAAAAGAAGAGGCCCAGGAGACUCAUGGUGUAACGUUUAGAAAAGAACAGGAGAAAAUGUCUGGAGAGAAAAAGAGCCAAUCCUAGGCCUGUGUGGAAACAGCUAGAGAGAUGGGUUGAGUGAUGAAAAUCGCCAUCAAUACGUGCAAUGUUGCUCAGAUGUUUUAAUUACAUUUUGUCUUCUUAAUUCACUUAAAUUCAUUUAUUUUAUAGGAAGCUAAUUCAUAUGAAAUUUAUUGUGAGAUAGACUUUAAGGACAUUCUUGACAUUCUAUUUUCUGUUUUAUAAAAGCCUAAAUUUUCACCAUGCUAAAUUGUGUUAUGCAGUUGUGGUUUCUUAGUGUUAUAAAGACUGUAGGGAGGCUUAGCUGUCACAUGGUACAUGGUGGAAGUGGCAGCAUGGAAAUGGUGUCAACCUGGUUCUCAGAUGCAUGAAAGAGAAGAGAAACAGACAGGAAACUUCUCGUAAGAGUAUAGAAUUUGUGCGUGUGUGUGUGUGUGUGUAUGUGAGGAAGAUCGGCCCUGAGCUAACAUCUGUGCCAGUCUUCCUCUAUUUUAUGUGGGAUGCCGCCGUACCAUGGCUUGAUGAACAGUACUAGGUCUGCGACUGGGAUCCAGACCUGCGAACCCUGGGGUGCCGAAGCGGAGCGCGUGAACUUAACCACUACACCCCUGGGCCGGCCCCAGUAUAGAAUAUUUUUUGAUAACCCAUUUACUAUAAAAAAUCUAUAGUUUCUAUAGUUUAGUUAUAAUGAAUGGGAAUUAUGAAUAUUAAAUACAGUGUGACUUUUCAAAAAUUUCCUUCCAUUUCUUUUGCCACUUGACAGCAAAGACAUGAAAAUUGAACUAAACACAUAAGCUAUUGUGUUCAUAUGUAUCUUAUAUUUUUAAUAUAAGGUGGGAAGCUGGCUUACAGCCACUUUUUUAAUGCACAAGAAUUAUCUUAAUGAAUCCUAACGAAAUCAUACAGUCUUAUGAAUAUUAUUUGCUUGAAAAUCUUCCUGUAUUUUAUAAACUCUAGUUAAAAUGACUUUGUUACUUGAGUUUACUCCUGUGCUAUUGAAUCUGUUCUUUAUAUGAAAGUUCAUAUAAAAUAUUAAAAAUGCUUUUCAGUUG